rnacentral:misc_RNA from 1 species
AAGCGGCCUCGCGUCUGCUUCACGUGGCGUCCGCCAUUAACGGCUUCAGCGCUCCUAGCCCCUUCGUCUUCCCAGAGAAAAACAAAGACAGCAGAACCUGAAAUAUCAACCACACACCGGAAGUACUUUUGGUAUUCCAAUAUCGGACUCGGCAAAGAACAAACUCAUCAUCAACGUGACGUUUUAUUUAUCUGUGUUCUACGUCGACCGGAAGUGAACAUACAUCGAGACAUCUCACGUUUGUUGUCUUGGGGUUUUAUCACUAAACGCCUCUGACAGCGAGUCUGAAAAAAGAUUUUUGAAUUUUUAAUAGUGAAGUACCAUUCAAACGAUGAAAUCGUGGUUUAUGUACUGCGCAUUCAAUACAUCCUUGUACUCACUGAGUUUAUCCUGAGACAAUACAGCUCUGUUUAACCUUUUGACCCGACAAGGGUGUGUUUAGUUUACAAGUUACAAAUUGUACAAAUUCUUUUUGCAAUGUAUGGAGACAUUGCAAUGAAAUCCGCUGGGGUAUAUAAAUAAUUAAUUCGUCUGGUAUCUCAUCUCUUUGCACCUUACUAUAUAACACAGGAAGCCAGGCCGAGGAGAAGCAAAGCAAAGGAAGAUAUAUACAUAUACAGUACAUGUAUAUAUAUAAUGUGUAUCUAGAUAGAAUACAAAGCAACCAGGAAUGAGUUUGUGCAAGAUCACUUGUAUAUAUAAGCUUAUUUAGACCAUAAAAAUACUGUUAAAUGAAACAUCAAAUAUAUACCGAAGUCAGUUUGUUGGAGCUGGUAUUUGUAAGAAUUGAUACUAGGAUUAUUUCCAUUUUUUCUUUCAGCAAUUUUCUUUGCAUGGUACCCAUUAUGGCGGAGUUGCUCGCCAAUUUUUGAUGACACUGAAAUGUUUUCCAUCAUAACUUAACCAAAUUUGUAUUCAUCCAACUGAAUACAAUAGCACAAAAAUCAAUGAAAUCAAUCAAAGAUAUAAAACACAAAAUUCCGGAAAAAGUUCGAGCUGGUUUUGGUUGAGAUGUACAUGUACGUUCGAGUCAUGUGAAUGGAUGAUGGAUGAUAAUAUUUUGAAUAAAAAUACACUGCCU